rnacentral:rRNA from 1 species
AGUUUGACUGGGGCGGUCGCCUCCCAAAAGGUAACGGAGGCGCUCAAAGGUUCUCUCAGUACGGUCGGAAAUCGUACGUAGAGUGUAAAGGCAAAAGAGAGCUUGAUUGCAAGACAUACAGGUCGAGCAAGGAUGAAAAUCGGACUUAGUGAUCCGGUGGUUCUGCGUGGAAGGGCCAUCGCUCAACGGAUAAAAGCUACCCUGGGGAUAACAGGCUUAUCUCCCCCAAGAGUCCACAUCGACGGGGAGGUUUGGCACCUCGAUGUCGGCUCAUCACAUCCUGGGGCUGUAGUAGGUCCCAAGGGUUGGGCUGUUCGCCCAUUAAAGUGGUACGCGAGCUGGGUUCAGAACGUCGUGAGACAGUUCGGUCCCUAUCCGUCGCAGGCGUAGGAAAUUUGAGAAGACCUGUCCUUAGUACGAGAGGACCGGGAUGGACGUACCUCUGGUGUACCAGUUGUCCUGCCAAGGGCAUGGCUGGGUAGCUAUGUACGGAAUGGAUAAGCGCUGAAAGCAUCUAAGCGCGAAGCCAACUUCAAGAUAAGAUUUCCCACCGCAAGGGUAAGACCCCAGAAAGACUAUCUGGUUGAUAGGUCGAAGGGUUGGGCUGUUCGCCCAUUAAAGUGGUACGCGAGCUGGGUUCAGAACGUCGUGAGACAGUUCGGUCCCUAUCCGUCGCAGGCGUAGGAAAUUUGAGAAGACCUGUCCUUAGUACGAGAGGACCGGGAUGGACGUAUCUCUGGUGUACCAGUUGUCCUGCCAAGGGCAUGGCUGGGUAGCUAUGUACGGAAUGGAUAAGCGCUGAAAGCAUCUAAGCGCGAAGCCAACUUCAAGAUAAGAUUUCCCACCGCAAGGGUAAGACCCCAGAAAGACUAUCUGGUUGAUAGGUCGAAGGUGUAAGUGCAGCAAUGUAUUUAGCUUAUCGAUACUAAUAGGUCGAGGACUUGACCAAU